rnacentral:rRNA from 1 species
ACGAACGCUGGCGGCGUGCCUAACACAUGCAAGUCGAACGGGGUACCCAAGAUUGAAGCUUCGGCAGAUUGACUGGACUACCUAGUGGCGGACGGGUGAGUAACGCGUGAGCAACCUGCCUUACAGAGGGGGACAACAGUUGGAAACGACUGCUAAUACCGCAUAACAUAAUGAGGUCGCAUGGUCUUGUUAUCAAAGAUUUAUCGCUGUAAGAUGGGCUCGCGUAUGAUUAGAUAGUUGGUGAGGUAACGGCCCACCAAGUCGACGAUCAUUAGCCGGACUGAGAGGUUGAACGGCCACAUUGGGACUGAGAUACGGCCCAGACUCCUACGGGAGGCAGCAGUGGGGAAUAUUGCGCAAUGGGGGCAACCCUGACGCAGCAACGCCGCGUGAAGGAUGAAGGUUUUCGGAUUGUAAACUUCUCUUGUCAAGGACGAAUAGAGUGACGGUACUUGACGAAUAAGCCACGGCUAACUACGUGCCAGCAGCCGCGGUAAUACGUAGGUGGCAAGCGUUGUCCGGAUUUACUGGGUGUAAAGGGCGAGUAGGCGGGUCUGCAAGUCAGAUGUGAAAUACCGGGGCUUAACUCCGGGGCUGCAUUUGAAACUGUAGAUCUUGAGUGAUGGAGAGGCAGGCGGAAUUCCCGGUGUAGCGAUGGAAUGCGUAGAUAUCGGGAGGAACACCAGUGGCGAAGGCGGCCUGCUGGACAUUAACUGACGCUGAGGAGCGAAAGCGUGGGGAGCAAACAGGAUUAGAUACCCUGGUAGUCCACGCCGUAAACGAUGGAUACUAGGUGUGGGAGGUAUUGACCCCUUCCGUGCCGGAGUAAACACAAUAAGUAUCCCACCUGGGGAGUACGGCCGCAAGGUUGCAACUCAAAGGAAUUGACGGA